UUUAAUUCGACGCAACGCGCAGAACCUUACCUAGUCUUGACAUCCUUGGAACGCCUCAGAGAUGAGGAAGUGCCCGCAAGGGAACCAAGAGACAGGUGCUGCAUGGCUGUCGUCAGCUCGUGUCGUGAGAUGUUGGGUUAAGUCCCGCAACGAGCGCAACCCUCGCCUUUAGUUGCCGCGCAAGCGGAUCUCUAGAGGGACUGCCGGUGUUAAACCGGAGGAAGGUGGGGAUGACGUCAAGUCCUCAUGGCCUUUAUGACCAGGGCUACACACGUGCUACAAUGGCCGGUACAAAGCGUUGCCAACUCGCGAGAGGGAGCUAAUCGCAUAAAACCGGUCUCAGUUCAGAUUGGAGUCUGCAACUCGAUUCCAUGAAGGCGGAAUCGCUAGUAAUCGCAGAUCAGCACGCUG
rnacentral:rRNA from 1 species